GAGUUUGAUCCUGGCUCAGGAUAAACGCUGGCGGCGUGCUUUAAGCAUGCAAGUCGCACGGAUACUCGCAAGAGUGUGAGUGGCAGACGGCUGAGGAAGACGGAAGGAACCUGCCCUUCAGAGGGGGAUAACUCCGCGAAAGCGGGGCUAAGACCGCGUACGCUCGUGCUGGGGAGAACGGCACGAGGAAAGCCGCAAGGCGCUGAGGGAGGGGCUUCCGGCCCAUCAGGUAGUUGGUGAGGUAAGAGCCCACCAAGCCGAUGACGGGUCGCUGGUCUAAGAGGAUGAUCAGCCAGACUGGGACUGAGACACGGCCCAGACUCCUACGGGAGGCAGCAGCUAGGAAUCUUGCGCAAUGGGCGAAAGCCUGACGCAGCGACGCCGCGUGGGGGACGACGGUCUUCGGAUUGUAAACCCCUUUUGGGUGGGAAGAGCAAGGACGGUACCACCCGAAGAAGCCCCGGCUAACUACGUGCCAGCCGCCGCGGU
rnacentral:rRNA from 1 species